rnacentral:rRNA from 1 species
AGAGUUUGAUCCUGGCUCAGGAUGAACGCUGGCGGCGUGCCUAACACAUGCAAGUCGAGCGAUCUUCUUCGGAAGAGAGCGGCGGACGGGUGAGUAACGCGUGGGUAACCUGCCCUGUACACACGGAUAACAUACCGAAAGGUAUGCUAAUACGAGAUAAUAUGCUUUUAUCGCAUGGUAGAAGUAUCAAAGCUUUUGCGGUACAGGAUGGACCCGCGUCUGAUUAGCUGGUUGGUAAGGUAACGGCUUACCAAGGCGACGAUCAGUAGCCGACCUGAGAGGGUGAUCGGCCACAUUGGAACUGAGACACGGUCCAAAUUCCUACGGGAGGCAGCAGUGGGGAAUAUUGCACAAUGGGCGAAAGCCUGAUGCAGCAACGCCGCGUGAGCGAUGAAGGCCUUCGGGUCGUAAAGCUCUGUCCUCAAGGAAGAUAAUGACGGUACUUGAGGAGGAAGCCCCAGCUAACUACGUG